CCUACGGGCGGCAGCAGUGGGGAAUUUUGGACAAUGGGGGCAACCCUGAUCCAGCCAUUCCGCGUGAGUGAAGAAGGCCUUCGGGUUGUAAAGCUCUUUCGGCAGGAACGAAACGGUGAGCUCUAACAUAGCUCGCUAAUGACGGUACCUGAAGAAGAAGCACCGGCUAACUACGUGCCAGCAGCCGCGGUAAUACGUAGGGUGCGAGCGUUAAUCGGAAUUACUGGGCGUAAAGCGUGCGCAGGCGGUU
rnacentral:rRNA from 1 species